GCGACUUGUACUGUGAAACUGCGAAUGGCUCAUUAAAUCAGUUAUGGUUUCUUUGAUGGUACCUUGCUACUUGGAUACCCGUAGUAAUUCUAGAGCUAAUACAUGCGGGAGUGCCCGACUUCGGAAGGGCUGUAUUUAUUAAAUAAGAAACCUUCUCGGGUUCGCCCGGUUGUGUGCUGAGUCAUAAUAACUGCUCGAAUCGCACGGCUCUACGCCGGCGAUGGUUCAUUCAAAUUUCUGCCCUAUCAGCUUUCGAUGGUAGGAUAGAGGCCUACCAUGGCGUUAACGGGUAACGGAGAAUUAGGGUUCGAUUCCGGAGAGGGAGCCUGAGAAAUGGCUACCACAUCCAAGGAAGGCAGCAGGCGCGUAAAUUGCCCGAAUCCUGACACAGGGAGGUAGUGACAAGAAAUAACAAUACAGGGCUACUUCUAGUCUUGUAAUUGGAAUGAGUACAACUUACAUCUCUUCACGAGGAUCAACUGGAGGGCAAGUCUGGUGCCAGCAGCCGCGGUAAUUCCAGCUCCAGAAGCGUAUAUUAAAGUUGUUGCAGUUAAAACGCUCGUAGUCGGGUUUCGGGUCGGGCCGAGCGGUCUGCCGAUGGGUAUGCACUGU
rnacentral:rRNA from 1 species